rnacentral:rRNA from 1 species
UACGUAGGGUGCAAGCGUUGUCCGGAAUUAUUGGGCGUAAAGGGCUCGUAGGCGGUCCAUCACGUCGGGAGUGAAAAGCUGGGGCUUAACCCCAGUCCUGCUUCCGAUACGGGUGGACUAGAGGUAGGCAGGGGAGAACGGAAUUCCUGGUGUAGCGGUGAAAUGCGUAGAUAUCGGAAGGAACACCUGUGGCGAAAGCGGCUCACUGGACCAUUACUGACGCUGAUGCACGAAAGCUAGGGGAGCAAACAGG